rnacentral:misc_RNA from 1 species
UUCGAGCGUCAUUUGUACUCUCAAGCUCUGCUUGGUGUUGGGUGUUUGUCCUAAUCAGACUCGCCUUAAAUGAAUUGGCAGCCGAUAUAUUGGUUUGAAGCGCAGCACAAUUUGCGUUCUCAGCGAAUAAUUAUCAGCGUCCAUGAAGUAUGUAUAACACUUUUGACCUCGGAUCAGGUAGGGAUACCCGCUGAACUUAA